UGGGCCUUGGUCUGGAGAGAGCGUGACCUUGCUCUCACAGGGAGGGUGUCACUCUUCCUCUUCUGGGCGGUCCCCGUCCUGAGCUGUGCUCCUCUGAGGCAUCCCAGGGAAGGAAGGGGGCAUGGCUCUGAACAUCAGAUGAAUGGCAGGGGAUGAAGCAGGACACAGUAGGCCUCAAGUCAGGAGGGAGAGAGAACAGUGGGCAGAAGGAGAGCCAAGUGAAGCUGGGGGAGGGCAGCCCAGAGGGACUUGGCCACCAUGGCAGCCUCAAGGGCCUCAGGAGCUCGGCACGGUGGCAGGGGCCACUCUGGCAUCGUUUGGAGCCAGCCUCAAUUGCCUGUGAACUGGCAGUUGUUUCCAAGGACUUGUACAUAGAGCUGGUGACAAAGGAAACAAGUAUGUGUGUCACCCAGCUUGACCCCAUGGCAACACACCUGGCACUCAUUGCCGCUCUUCCCUUCAGCUGAGACGUGAGUGCUCAUGGCAGAUCCCAAGAGCUCUGGCCAUGGUCAAGGGACAAACCCAGAUAAACUGAGUCACGGUUCUUCAUCCAAAAAUCAGCAGGUCAAGCAGAAGGAAGAUUCUGGUUGGAAUCAGACGGGGUCCCUUACAUGCUUCUGUCCCAAGGGAAGACAGGGUUCCUGUGAGGUCCACACCAGCUGCCUCCGAGCUCCAAACCAAAAGAACCACAGGAAGGGUCAGAAGCGCAGCAGUCAUGGAUGGGGAGGCAGAGGUGUCACCCAGGCCGAAUGGCCCCCAGGAUGAGGCCCCAGAGUGCAACCCUGGCCUGCUGACAAGAGGUGAACAACUAGCUCCUGCUCUUAUAGAGAAAGCCCCGCAGAACAGUAGCCCUCUGGCCUCUUCAGCAGCUGUUCCUGAGCAGAGAAACAGGAGGAAGAAGGGCCAGAAGAAGAAGCGGGCAAAUGCCAAGGCAGCCACCCAGGAGAGCAGCUCUGCCGCCUCCACGGCAGCCUCCUCAGAAGCCAUCUCCCAGCUGAAGCUCUGGAGGAGGAGGGGACAGAAGAACAUAUGGACUGUUGACCACAUUCAGGGGACAAAACUGAGGAUGAACAAGAGGAGAAGGCCCAGUUACCGCCCUGAGGACCAGGAAGCCUUCUACCGACUUCUGGAGGAUCCCGUUAUCCAGAGCUUCCUGGAGGCCGACAUUUUCCUCAAAGUGUCUGACAAGUAUCUGCUGUCCAUGGUGGUGGAGUACUUCGGCCGUGUUGGGCUUCCUGGACACCUCUACAACAGGGUCCACUUCUUCCUGGCUCUCUACAUCGCCUCCGACAUGGAGGAGGACAACCCUACUCCCAAGCGCAGCAUCUUCCAGUUCCUGCUGGGCAAGGAGCACUGGCCCGACCUCUACAAGGAGUUCCUGAAGCUCAAGGUGGAAUUCUUCCACGCCAUGGGGCACCGAGCCUGGGUCACCCCAGAGCUGUGUGAGGAGAUCCAGGCCCAGAAUCCACACCACUGGGUCUGGAGCAGGGUGCGCCAGUGCGCCCCCUAGGUUCCCAGGGCCUGGGAACAACAGGCAGGGCCAUGGAGCAGGAGCUGCAGAUGGUCCAGCUCCCGCCCACCCCUGCCUCCCCUUCCCCUCCCCCUCCCAUGACACAGCUGCCUCUUCCCAGGCUCCAGGCAGCUGUAGAGGCAUCAUGGGGCUUCCCUCAGACAGGCAGGACAGACGGAAGAGGAUGCAGGGUGAGCAUGGACCAUGGCGGCCUGCAGCUGGGAAUCCAAACCAGCCGAAUGAACCACUGCCCAUCUUUAAGCGGAUGUCAGCCAGCCAAGCCCUAACCCCUGCAUGCCCUUGGGAAGGGUCCAGCAGGAGACCCCCAGAACAGGAGCUUCAAUGGAGACUGAGGAGAGGGAGAGGCAGAAGGGAAAGUCCAGGGAGGGCCUUGGACCACGGAGGAGGAGGAACUGGAAGGAUGAGUCCAAAUCAACUACUGGAAGGUGGCAAGGAGGGAAGGAGUGGGCGCAGAAGGAGAGAAGCCAUGAGAAGAGGAGCAGAGCCCCUGCAGACAGGCAGGGUCCUGGGACUCUACUCGCAGCCCUUUCUGCAUAAUGGACUAGAUUACCCGACGGAGUCCUAUCCCACGAGAUGACCAAGAAGUCUCAGCCAGGGGACCAAAGGGUGGCGGUGCUGAGCGUGUUGGUGCAUAGACCCAAUGCGGAAACGAAAGCACAAAUAAGAAAUCAUCUGCCACCACAGUGUACAUCCUGGCAAUAUGGACAUAGCCCAGUUUGAAAGAUGAGAGGGAGGGAGGGGAGUGGAAGGGCUCAUGAGGAGGAGAGCUAAGAAAACAGUGGAAGCCAAGGUACCAGAAGGAGAUGAGAACACAAACACGAUCAUCCCAAUGCCAAAAGUAAUGCAUACAACAGAUUUAAAAGAGCAAAGAAAACAGAACAGAUACACAGAAAUUUAAUGUAAGAAAUAGAGCAAAUACAAUAUAUAAAUAAGACACUGCUAAGACCAGCCGUAUUAUUUGUUUUAAUAAAUUUGAACUCACUACAAGAAGAAAAAUUUUCA